rnacentral:snoRNA from 1 species
AUGUCAAAGUUGGGGCAUUUUCUGAAAAAAUUGUUGAACCUCUCCUAUGCCUCAGGAUAGCUCUCUAAAUCUUUCUGUUUGAAGGCGUGGAUGUUAUUUCUGAUUU